rnacentral:lncRNA from 1 species
CUUAUCCCAGUCAGUAGCAUUAUUCGUGUAACUUGUAUGUACAUUGGAUUUAUAAUUAGCAAUAAUUAAAAAGUUUGGUAAUGAAAUGACGAAUCUGGUAAUAACUGGAGUCGAACUUGGUAAUGCCUGUCGUACAAGAGUUGGCAACCCUGUGAUCCCAACCUCCUCAUCGGCUCAGCUGUCUGAUUGCUGACAGCUGAGCUGGGCGCUGGACUGUGGCACGUAUAGGGGUGUGAGGAGGUAAUCCAUGAAGCCAAAAACCUGUGCCAGGCUGCCAAUGUGGCCUGUGGUGCCAAAACUGUGGGAUGCAUGGCUGCCACACCACUGACUGCCCUUGUCACUGUCUGAGGGUCUGGCCAGCACCCUGCACUACCUGAUUGAUCCUGAGGACCCCAAGAACAUUUGCUUUCUGGCCUUUACUUUAGAGUGAGCUGUCCAAGGAAUACCUGGAGAAGAGCAGGAAGAUAAUGGAGGUGGUGCUGGAGAUCCUGGAUGUCGGUGUGGCCAAAGGGGAUGAGGACCAUGGCUGCUCUGUUCACAAGGGCACUGAUGGGGUGGGCUCAGACUCCUCUAUCUGCACUUGGCCCAGUGCAGGGGUGAUGAGGCCUGCCUGAAGAUGGGAGGGCACUGCUGGGAUGAUCUGAGCCUGUGAUUAUUGUAUUUUAUGUGACUCAUAUCUGUGACACAUAUUUGCAUUAUAUCUUUGCUACCUGCUGCUUGGAAUUCUGCAGAGAGAGUAGCUUUGGCAGGAGAAUUUCCUUCACUCCAGUCCUCAUGCUCAAUACUUACACACUCAUCCUGUUCUAUUUUGAAAUAUGUAAACUCUCCUGUGAUAUCAUGCUUAAUAUGGCAGUAGUGUGAGUACAAGAGCAGUGUCUUAUUCUAAGUACUUAAUCUAAAGAGUGUAUUCACCCGAUAGAAAGCCUCGAUCAUCCUGAACAAUGCCCUGCACAAUCUGAUGAGCCAAUGCCAUUCUUUCAUCUGUGGCAACACGCCUUGGCGUUGGCAACCAUGGUGUGCCACUGGGAUGGGGACGCCAGCAUGGUGAAGAAUUGCACCUCACAGUGUGUUGAGAAGGCUGGUUGCUAGUGUGUUUCUGGGAUUUUCUCUCCUCAGUGAGUGUGUGAUCAUUGCUUUGUGCUUUUUAUUAUUCUUUUUAUAGAGAUAGUUUGUUCUGCCUUUGAUACUUUUACUGUAUGUCUUAAAAUUCUUAAUGUAUUUGACAGGUUACAAUCCAAUGAUUAACUUUGUUAUACAUAGUCUUCCCUCUUUAGGAAUGCAUAAUAAAAGGCUGCUUUGUUGACCUGAGAACAUAUGAGAUAAGGAAACAAGAGAAGCUGCAAGCAGCCUUCAGACCUACAUGUGGUAGUCCCUGUUGUGAAGGGAUUAUUUGUGUAGGGACUUGCUGACACUAGAACACAAGGUAGUAAGGAAAGCUGCAAGGUGUCAAGCCCACCUGUGUCAGAUCCUGUAUGAAAUGUUUCAAUUUAUUUCCUUAUAUCAUCCUGAUCCAUAAAUUGUUUGAUCUUCUUCUAAAGCUCCCAAUGACUCAGCACUAAUAGCCUGAUUAAGGAGUAUUUCGUUCAUCUAACACUCUACCAUGUACCUCACAAUAAGUUAAACAUUCUACUAAUUGGUUAUGGAAAAAUGUAAGGAUAGACAUUUAUUAAUUUUUAUUUGAAAGUAACAAUUCUUCCUCUACUCUGGUUUCAGUAGCAAUGUUUUGUAAUGUCUGUUCUUUGUUCAGGUCUUUGGAAAUAAGAGUUACUUGGAGGAUGCCAAGAGAGGGAAGUGUGUGUGGAAGUGAAGCAUCCUGAAGAAGGGUUAUGGUAUCUGUCCCAGCACAACUGGCAAUGGAUAGACACUGCUCUUCUUGUAUCAGGAAGGAAGCCAACCAAGGGCAACAAAAUAUUAAAAAAAAAAAGUCCCGCUUCAAGUGCUGGUUCCCUUAAAAAGUAGUAACAAAUUAGCCAAAAUCAAGAAAGAAAUGUCCCUCGUAAAAGAAGUCAAGUCAUGGGAAGAUGGAAAUACAAGAAGCAGGCAGGGAGUUCCAGAGUUUACCAGAGAAAGGUGAUCUACGAGGCCAAGUCCCUUUACCUUGCUGCCAGUCUGCCAAAACUAUGCCACACGCGAAUGUUGCACCGCUUACUGUCCCUGUCACUGUCAGAGGGUCUAGCCAGCACCCUGCACUGCACAUAAAGAUCAUAUGUAUGUGCAAGAGUAGUCUCUCUCUCUCUCUCUCUCUCUCUCUCUCUCUCUCUCUCUCUCUCUCUCUCUCUCUCUCUCUCUCUCUCUCUCUCUC